CGAAACCAAAAGUUACUCUUCUAUAAUCUUCCUAUAUUGUAGCUAGUUCAGUCACAUUGUAAUGUUGGAAUCAUGUAAGGUUACUACUUUGCUAGUAGAUCACAAUUAGUAAUAUAAUAUUAGCAGGAAACUAA